rnacentral:pre_miRNA from 1 species
UACGUACUCCCUCCGUUCCAAAUUACUCGUCGCAGAAAUGGAUGUAUCUAGAACUAAAAUACAUCUAAAUACAUCCAUACCUGCGACAAGUAAUUCAGAACGGAGGGAGUACAUA